GAGCACGUAGGUGGGUUUGUAAGUCAGGUGUGAAAGCCUUCUGCUCAAAGGAAGAACGGCAUCUGAAACUGCAGAUCUUGAGUGUAGGAGGGGAGAGUGGAACUUCUGGUGGAGCGGUGAAAUGCGUAGAUAUCAGAAGGAACGUCGGCGGCGAAAGCGACUCUCUGGCCUAUUACUGACACUGAGUGUGCGAAAGUUAGGGGAGCAAACGGGAUUAGAUACCCCGGUAGUCCUAACCGUAAACGAUGGGCACUAAGUAGAGGG
rnacentral:rRNA from 1 species